AUUGAACGCUGGCGGCAUGCUUUACACAUGCAAGUCGAGCGGCAGCGCGGGGGCAACCCUGGCGGCGAGCGGCGAACGGGUGAGUAAUGCAUCGGAACGUAUCCUCGAGUGGGGGAUAACCCAGCGAAAGUUGGGCUAAUACCGCAUGAGCUCUGAGGAGGAAAGCGGGGGACCUGCGAGGGCCUCGCGCUGGAGGAGCGGCCGAUGUCCGAUUAGCUAGUUGGUGGGGUAAAGGCUUACCAAGGCGACGAUCGGUAGCUGGUCUGAGAGGAUGAUCAGCCACACUGGGACUGAGACACGGCCCAGACUCCUACGGGAGGCAGCAGUGGGGAAUUUUGGACAAUGGGGGCAACCCUGAUCCAGCCAUGCCGCGUGAGUGAAGAAGGCCUUCAGGUUGUAAAGCUCUUUCGGACGGAACGAAAUGGGCGGGACUAAUACUCCUGUCUGAUGACGGUACCGUAAGAAGAAGCACCGGCUAACUACGUG
rnacentral:rRNA from 1 species